GCCGAAAUUUGGCCAAAAAUAUUGUUGGGUGAAAAAGAUGCAGUCUUGUUUAAAAAGAUUGACUUCCCAGGAAUUAAAAGGGAAAAGGCCUCAUAAGACAAACGGAGGUCUAAUCAGUCUGAAUAUUUCAGAGGUUCAAACUAAAUUGAAGUAUUGUUUUCAUUGUAUUUUUAGCAAGCAUAGAAAUAAUACGUGCUCGAUUAGUUAAUGGUAGUACACCUGAUGAAGGCCGUGUAGAGAUUUACCAUGGUGGACAUUGGGGCACAAUUUGUGCUGACAAUUUUUAUGAAGAUGAAGCUCAGACAGUUUGUAAUGCACUUGGCUACAGCUCUGGAAUUCCAACUGGAGAAGCACAUUUUGGAAAAGGAACAGGACCUGUUUUCUUGGAUGAUCUCAAAUGUUUUGUAUCAAAUUCUGGCGAAAAUGUAUUGGAGCUAGACGGCCUAACUGAGUGCGUUUUUAAUGGUUGGGGUGUAUCAAAUUGCAAUCACGGAGAUGCUGGUGUGAUAUGUACAGAUGAACACGCACAUAUUCGUUUAGUGGAUGGUGCAACACCAACAGAAGGCCGUGUGGAGAUUUACCAUGAUGGACAAUGGGGAACAAUCUGUGAUGACAAUUUUCAUGUAAAUGAAGCAAUGGCAGUUUGCGAGGCACUUGC